GAUGAAGAACGUAGCGAAAUGCGAUAAGUAAUGUGAAUUGCAGAAUUCAGUGAAUCAUCGAAUCUUUGAACGCACAUUGCGCCCCCUGGUAUUCCGGGGGGCAUGUCUGUUCGAGCGUCAUUUCACCACUCAAGCCUCGCUUGGUAUUGGGCAACGCGGUCCGCCGCGUGCCUCAAAUCGACCGGCUGGGUCUUCUGUCCCCUAAGCGUUGUGGAAACUAUUCGCUAAAGGGUGUUCGGGAGGCUACGCCGUAAAACAACCCCAUUUCUAAGGUUGACCUCGGAUCAGGUAGGGAUACCCGCUGAACUUAAGCAUAUCAAUAAGCGGAGGA
rnacentral:misc_RNA from 1 species